rnacentral:rRNA from 1 species
GUGUCAGCCGCCGCGGUAAUACGUAGGGACCAAGCGUUGUUCGGAUUUACUGGGCGUAAAGGGCGCGUAGGCGGCGUGACAAGUCACUUGUGAAAUCUCUGAGCUUAACUCAGAACGGCCAAGUGAAACUGUUGUGCUAGAGUGCAGAAGGGGCAAUCGGAAUUCUUGGUGUAGCGGUGAAAUGCGUAGAUAUCAAGAGGAACACCUGAGGUGAAGACGGGUUGCUGGGCUGACACUGACGCUGAGGCGCGAAAGCCAGGGGAGCAAACGGGAUUAGAAACCCCUGUAGUCC